AUUGAACGCUGGCGGCAGGCCUAACACAUGCAAGUCGAGCGAGCGGCGGACGGGUGAGUAAUGUAUGGGGACUGCCCGAUAGAGGGGGAUAACUACUGGAAACGGUGGCUAAUACCGCAUACUAUCGGAUAACCAAUAUGGGAUUAGCUAGUAGGUGGGGUAACGGCUCACCGAGGCGACGAUCUCUAGCUGGUCGGAGAGGAUGAUCAGCCACCCGGGGACUGAGACACGGCCCAGACUCCUACGGAGGCAGCAGUGUGGAAUAUUGCACAAUGGGCGCCAGCCUGAUGCAGCCAGUCCGCGUGUAUGAAGAAGGCCUUAGGGUUGUAAAGUACUUUCUGCGGGGAGGCGUUACCCGCAGAAGAAGCACCGGCUAACUCCGGGCCAGCAGCCGCGGUAAUAC
rnacentral:rRNA from 1 species